GACGAAGAAGACAGCAGUAAUGGAUCAGGCCCUCCGCGGAAGAAGCUUCGUCUCACAAAGGAACAGUCUCGUCUUCUGGAAGAGAGCUUCCGACAACACCACACCUUAAACCCUAAACAGAAAGAGGCGUUGGCGAUGCAGUUGAAGCUGAGGCCACGGCAAGUUGAGGUGUGGUUUCAAAA